UCUAAAAUGGCAGAUAAAUGCUUUAGGCUUAGGACCUAACUAUGGGAUUUCUUAUCCCUUUUAGAA
rnacentral:tRNA from 1 species